rnacentral:rRNA from 1 species
AUGCGAUACUUGGUGUGAAUUGCAGAAUCUCGUGAACCAUUGAGUCUUUGAACGCAAGUUGUGCCCGAGGCCUUCUGGCCGAGGGCACGCCUGCUUGGGAGUCAUGGCAUUGCCGCCUCCGCUCCACGCGAUGCUGGUGCUGAGCGCGUAGAUUGGCCCCGUGUGCCCUCGGGCACAGUCGGCCGAAGAGCGGGCAGUCGCCGGUCGUCGGGCACGAUGGGUGUUGGUCGCUCAUACGAGCGGGAACAGAACAUCGUCCCCGUCUUUUACGGACGAACCCUCAAGAGACCCUGUGUGAUCGAUCGUGGCGUCGGGGCGAAAGUGCCUCGGCACGUCGUCGAUCAACUUGUGGCCCCAAGUCAGGCGAGACCACCCGCCGAGUUUAAGCAUAUCAAUAAG